ensembl:lncRNA
GAUGUACCGGCACUGCCUUGGCAAUCGACCCGGUUUGUGAUCGAUGGGGGCAGCCGUGGUCCAUGGAGUAGAGAGAGAGUGCCGUUAACCGCACGGUUGAUGGUUCAAACCCUGCCUGUUCCACGUCCCGUGUCGCGGUGUCCCUGAGCAAGACGCCAAAACCUUAACUGCCCCCCCCCGGCACCUUUACGGCAGCACACUGUGUGUGAUGGAUUGAAUGCACAGAAUAAUUUCCCCAAGGAGAUUAAUAAAGGAUUCAUUCUUCAUUCAUCUCGCUGCCAAUCGGCACCCCUGGUCUAGACAAUGGGCAGUGGUGACCUGUGUGGUGGAGAGCAAGAGAAGAGACAACAUAAGAAGCGCUGGGUUCUAUUGAUUCAUUCAAUCAAAUAUUACAGCAGUGGUCAUAGCAGACACUACAGGCUGCACUUUUCUAGUUUUACCAUUAGUUAUUUCUUCUCCUGAAGCAUUUCGUAGGGCUUUCUUUUCAACGCCCAGAACACAGUCGGUAGAUUUAUAAAGAAAAAAAAAAGUACAGUUAUUUCCCAGUGCAAUGACCCUUUUCCAAAGAACAUCUCGGGGUGUCACUCUCAAUUAACAUUUGUCCCCCUGAAGUCACUGACAAGUUGUCACCCAUGGGAGAAAAAGUUGGUAAAGGAAGAAAAUGCAUUUUCGGUCCUUGAGGGCGAGUGAGGACAGUUUGUUUUGUUUGUUUUUCUGGGCAAACCCUCUCCCUGUUUCCUGCCAGAUAGCCGUGAGGCUGCCAGAAGUGAAUCCAUUGAUUAUUUAGCUCACAAGACGGACUUGGAUGUUCAGAGCAUGCACAUAUAGCACGGGGAAAGACUGACUACAAAGAUACAUGUUUACCUCUUUAGUGUGAUCCAUUAAAUAUGGCGAGAUGAUGGUGUCAGCUCAACAUUCAACACUUUGUCGGGAAGUCCAUCACAGCCGUGCAGACAAAGCUGCAUUUGUGUGUUUGAAAGAUGGAGCCGACAUAAAUUAUAGCUCAAUAAGAUGAAUAUGCUCAUUCAGAUUUCAGCACCAGCAGACACGUUUGUUUGUUCUUCUAUCUGGGAACAAUACACUUGGAUUUCGGACCCCACGUGGGACUAGUGGGAACCCUGUUAUUACUACAGAGAAACAAUAUUUUGAGCUUUUUUCAGCAUUAGGCUAUUACACGCGGAAGACCAAUUGAUCCCUGCAGUUGGCAGACAAGACAAUGGGUCAUGAAGCCGCACUGCACGACUUUUUUUCUCUAUUACUUGCCAUCAACAACCACUGAGGAAAAGCUUGGGACAUAAUUUGAGGCGAGAUAACACCAAAAGUCUGUUGUGACCAAUGCAAUACACAUUUAAGCCAGUGUCAACAUUUAUUUACAUAUAUGAGAAUUAAAAAAUAUAAUCACACCAAAUUAUAUUACAAAGAAGUUUUGGGGUUUCUAAGAUUGUAACUUGCAAGGCAGACGUCAUAGGUAGUUAUAGUAUAUAGUAUAGUUUCGUCAUGUAAUUCAUACCCCUGAUAUUUUGUCAAUUGCUACGCAUUACUACUUCAUCAUUGUAAUGAUAAAUAUGCUGCACAUUCAGACAUCAGAUUGUUUGUUGUGUGAAGUAUUAUUAGCAAAGAGGACAAAGUUAGAUUUUUUAUUAAUACUUUCCUCACUCCAGCAGAUAGUAUCAGCAGCUUGUUGCCAGUCAGCUGACGUGUUAUCAACAUUUCUUCUGAGAACUUAAUUUCAUACUUUUUCAGGGACCUACUGAUAAGGACUUGAGUUUCAAAGACGAGGGGAGGAGAGACAAGGAAAUAUAUAUAUAUUUUACUUGCUUCUCCAUUUCUCACGUUGAUGGUCUCCUUGUUAUCACAAAGAAAAAUCUAAUCAAGAAAAUGACUGUGAACAUGUUAUGUUUCAUGUUACUUUUGCUUCAUCAUUUGCAUGUGAGGACAUGUCAGUCUUUGUAAAACCUGCCUUAAAAAGUGUGAUGAGAACUGAGAGGAGACCUGAGCAUUUUAUUACUAAAAAUUACUAUAUAUUAAAGCAUUUUCAUAGAAACCAAAUUCCUUCUAUAAAGACUAGGCUUGUGGUCACUAAGUGCUCUGGCACGCUGUGUGUGAUUUUUUUAUUUAUUUAAUUGUUUCAAAGGAAACUGUACCUCUGUGUGCUGUCUGAGGUAAGGACUUGACUUUUUAACGGUAGGAAAUAAAUGCUGCAUGUGUUAUGGAUGUGUUGGAGCCUUUAUACACCCUUUUAGAAGAUAGUCCUAUAAAACACAAAAGGAAGCACUUAUAUUUUUAUAUUCUUUCACAUGUUGUUGAAGGCGGUUUCUUGUUUUCAACCACCUGCAACUACUCUCAAGUGAGUGUAAAGGCACUAUAUAGACACCCUCCCCAUCACCUCCCUUUUCUCUUUACUCCCUCCACCGUUCCCUCUCUGGUAUCUCACUACCCUGAGGCAGUACACGAGGACAUCUGGGCCACCAGUGGGAAUACAGUAGUUAAUCUCUGCUAGUUAAAUGCUCUUGUAUGGCCCUGAGCUGUAGCAGUCAACCAUCCCCUCUUUUCUACUUUACUUGCUCUCGGGGGAAUCGGUUCAGUCCUAUUUUAAUGUAUUACAUGGGGGGAGAGAAAAGCUAAUUUCAAGGUAACAGUUUUAAGCCCGUUUAGUAUUACUAUACUGAAUUGAUUGUUUGAUCGGGAGUGUUUGGCUGUCUGCUUGCAGCGUUGCGACUUUAAUUGUCACGCCAAUUGUGUGUUGCCUCUCCUUGUGAGCCCCAAAAUCCAACAGAAUUCCUCCCGCUCAUUAGCGUUCCUUUCAACCUGGCGACCACUUCCGGUGUCACAUUGAUCGCCACACACACACAAACCAUGGGCCAGCAGAUAGAAGUGGCAUAACAUUCACAGGAAAUGGUAUCUUGCCCCGCGAUGCUUCGACAACCUUCCUGGCGUGUGGGGCAAAGUGCAGUUGCAGGAGAU